rnacentral:tRNA from 1 species
UCUAAUAUGGCAGAUUAGUGCAAUAGAUUUAAGCUCUAUAUAUAAAGAUAUUCUUUUAUUAGAA